UCUCAUCUCUGUCUCUUCUGGUCUUCAGGGCUCCUGUAAUUACAUUGGGCCCAUCUGAUAAUACAGAAGUGUCUCCCUAUGCUGGGCGUGAAGAAGGAGCAGCUUGGAAUGGCAGCGGACAGCCAGAACAGAUGGACAGCAGCUGAAUCAAUCAAGAAGCGAUUGCAGUCUAUGGUCCUGGAGGCAAUUACCACUCCCUCACUGAGAAGUCAAUGAAAAGGAUACAUCAAAGAGUUAUUAACACACUCAUAAUUUGUAAAGCCUCUCCUAACGACACCACUAUAACUAUCCCCAUGUAUAAUAUGAUCACAGAUUACCUGAAAGAAUAAGGCUUCAUAAUUUUAUUUAUUGAAGUAUAAUUUACACAAGUGAAAUGUUUAUAUCUUAGGUGUGCUAUCCAAUCAGUUUUGAUAAAUGCAUAUACUUUUGCAGACUAUGCCCCUAUCAAGACACAGAGCAUUUCCUUCAAACCCAGAAAGUUACCUGUAUCCCUACCCAGGCAAUGCCCCUCUCAGAAACAACAACUAAUCCUGUUAUUUGUCACUAUAUUCCAAAGUUUCAUAUAAAUUAAAUCCUGUAGUUUGUCAUCUUUUGCAUCUUGCUUUUUUAUUUAGCAUAAUAUUUUCUGAGAAUGACUCAUUUCAAGUACCAGUAGCGGAUCCCUUUUUAUUGCAAAGUAAGAUUCCAUUACAAGAAAAUACACAGUUUAAUAAUCCAUUCUUCUAUUGAUGAACACCUGGGAUGCUUACAGGUUGGAAUUGUUAUGAAAAGAAGAUUCUAUGAACAAUUUUAUUUGCCUUUUUGGUGUAAAUAUGUUUUUGUUUCUCUUGAAUAAAUAUCUUGGAGUAGAAUUGCCAGCUCAUAGAGUAUAUGUGCAUUCAACUUUUGGAAAACUGAGUUUUCUGAAAUGUUUGUUCUGUUUUACACUCCCACUAGUAAUAUAUGAGAAUUUGAGUUACUCCA